GAGGGUAACAGCUCAGUGGUAGAGCACAUGCUUAGCACGCACGAGGUCCUGGGUUCUAGCCUCUGUACCUCCG
rnacentral:tRNA from 1 species